UGAGUAACACGUAUGCAACCUGCCUGCCACAGCCGGAUAAUCGGGAGAAAUUCCGUCUAAUACGGCAUAAUGCAUCGACGGGACAUCCUGUUGGUGCCAAAGGUUGAUUCCGGUAGCGGAUGGGCAUGCGUCGCAUUAGUUAGUUGGCGGUGUAACGGACCACCAAGACGACGAUGCGUAGGGGUUCUGAGAGGAAGGUCCCCCACACUGGUACUGAGACACGGACCAGACUCCUACGGGAGGCAGCAG
rnacentral:rRNA from 1 species